GACGAACGCUGGCGGCGUGCCUAAUACAUGCAAGUCGAACGAACCGCGACUAGGUGCUUGCACUUGGUCAAGGUGAGUGGCGAACGGGUGAGUAACACGUGGGUAACCUACCUCAUAGUGGGGGAUAACAGUCGGAAACGACUGCUAAUACCGCAUAGGACAUAGGAUCACAUGAUCCAGUGAGGAAAGGUGGCGCAAGCUAUCGCUAAGAGAUGGACCCGCGGUGCAUUAGCUAGUUGGUAGGGUAAAGGCCUACCAAGGCGAUGAUGCAUAGCCGACCUGAGAGGGUGAUCGGCCACAUUGGGACUGAGACACGGCCCAAACUCCUACGGGAGGCAGCAGUAGGGAAUCUUCCGCAAUGGACGCAAGUCUGACGGAGCAACGCCGCGUGAGUGAAGAAGGUCUGCGGAUCGUAAAGCUCUGUUGUUAGAGAAGAACAGCGCAUAGAGUAACUGUGAUGCGUGUGACGGUAUCUAACCAGAAAGCCACGGCGAACUACGU
rnacentral:rRNA from 1 species